UACGGAGGGUGCAAGCGUUACUCGGAAUUACUGGGCGUAAAGCGUGCGUAGGCGGUUUGUUAAGUCUGUUGUGAAAGCCCCGGGCUCAACCUGGGAAUGGCAAUGGAUACUGGCAAGCUAGAGUGCGGUAGAGGGUAGUGGAAUUCCCGGUGUAGCGGUGAAAUGCGUAGAGAUCGGGAGGAACACCAGUGGCGAAGGCGGCUUCCUGGACCAGCACUGACACUGAGGCACGAAAGCGUGGGGAGCAAACAGG
rnacentral:rRNA from 1 species